UACGGAGGGUGCAAGCGUUGUCCGGAAUCAUUGGGUGUAAAGGGUGCGUAGGCGGAAGUGUAAGUCGGAGGUGAAAUCCUGCCGCUUAACGGUAGAAGGGCCUUCGAUACUGGAUUUCUUGAGUUCGGUGGAGGUUGGCGGAAUUUGUGGUGUAGCGGUGAAAUGCAUAGAUAUGACGAAGAACACCGGUGGCGAAGGCGGCUAACUGGUCCGAUACUGACGCUGAGGCACGAGAGCGUGGGGAGCGAACAGG
rnacentral:misc_RNA from 1 species